UUUUAUGUUUUUCUCUGCAGACCUUCUCCGUCGUUCGCCGUAUCCCCCGUUCCCCUAUCCCCUUGAAUCGAAAAUGGUGAAAGGACGCCAAGGAGAGCGCGUCAGACUCUAUGUCAGAGGAACCGUUCUUGGAUACAAAAGGUCAAAAUCGAACCAGUACCCAAGAACUUCGUUGAUUCAGAUUGAGAGAGUGAACACUAAGGAGGAAGUGGAUUGGUACCUCGGAAAGCGCAUGGCGUACAUCUACAAGGCUAAGACAAAGAAGAACAACUCUCACUAUCGCUGCAUUUGGGGUAAGGUUUGCAGGCCUCAUGGAAACAGUGGCGUCGUCAGAGCUAAGUUCAAGUCUAACUUGCCACCUAAGUCUAUGGGAUCUAAGGUCAGGGUUUCAUGUACCCAAGUAAUAUAUAAGUGAGGCAUCACGGAGUAGAUGAUAAGAUCAAGGCCGUUGGAUGCUUUUAAAGGCUUUAUGCCUGAUCAAGGAUGUCUGAUGGAAGGAUCUUCAUUUUUACUAGUUAAGACUUAAAUUGUGGCUUGUGCUUAGUGGAGUUACAUUCUUAGUGUUUUGCUUAUCACUUCUGAGUAAUACUGAAGAUUCAAAUCUAAUU